GCAGCUUUCAGGCUGGAGAGCUUCCGCAGUCUCUCCACUUCCAUACUGAUUAGAAGUGCUUGAGAUACAUCAUAACAGUGUCAGUGCAGUGUUUAUGGGGGAAAUUGUCUCUGUCUCUUGCUUGCCGAAGGUGACAUAAUGGGAUUUCUUCCCUUUGUCCUGGUGACAGGAUGAUGAGCACUGUCUGGGCUCCAGUUCUGCACGCUUUGCCAUUCGCGCAUCCUGACUCCACCGACAGCCCGAAGAUCCAAGGAGAAAGGGAAGGAAUAGGAGCUUGGAAAAGAAUGUGACCAACUCAUGUCCCACAGCCAGCAAACCUGAGCCUUGAGGAUGGAUCUUCUGAAGAGGCUUGGCCGGACUUGUAUGACUUCGCCAUGCUGGCUGGUCACUGUCCUGCCCAUCCCAGGUAAUGGUGAGGACAUAAUGACGUGCACUCCAUGCUCAGCCCUGGACAAAGAUCUUAUGGAGGCAAGCUCCUUUCCUACAGAAGCCAUCCAGAGAGGAGGAACAU
rnacentral:lncRNA from 1 species